UCCUCUCGUUAGAGAUUUUUUCCCCUCGAAUUAUUUGACGAAGACGAAGAUGCUGACAGCGUCCACCUGCGCCACCUCCGCGCGUCCUCCAUCGCCGCCGCUCCCUCCGCGGAAAGAUGAGAGCUUUCACCUCAGACCCGCUUCUCGGCGGCAGCUCCUCGCCGCCCUCGUCUUCCCCGUCGCUCCUCUCCUCGUCGCCGGCGAGCCCACGUCUCCGUUCUCGCCCGUCGCUGACGCCCGCGGCCUCUUCCAGAUGCCCCCUCCUCGGCUCACCAAUAGGUAUUUCUUGGUGAAGGCAGGGGAGUCUGAGUACGAAAGCCUUGGAAUAAUCAACACUAAUCCGGUCGCGAAGACGUCAGUCGAUAGCGGGUUGUCAGAGAAAGGGAAGAAGCAGAUGGUUCGGGCAGCCUUUGAUUUGAAGGAGAUGGGGGCAUGCGAAAGGAACUGUUGGAUUUGGCCUUCUAUCACUCAGAGAGCUUACCAAGCUGCUGAAAUCAUUGCUUCGGUGAACAGGAUCAGUCGGAGCUACAUAGUCCCAGAGUAUACCUUCCUAGAUGCCAGGGGAUUGGGAGCCUAUGAAGGGAAGAACCUUGACUCUGUUUCAGAGGUAUAUGCAUCUGACAGCAUCUCUCCAAGGAUCAAGCCUCCUCCCAUAGAUGAUGGGACUCCUAAUGAGAGUGUCGCAGACGUAUUCGUUCGCGUCACACAACUUAUGUCAAUUCUUGAGACCCAGUACUCAGAAGACACCGUAAUCAUUGUCUCGCCUGAUUCUGACAACUUGUCAGUUUUACAAGCUGGCAUAGUUGGCCUUGACCUUCGGAGGCACAGAGAGCUUUCUUUUGCUCCUGGAGAGGUCAGAUUUGUCGAUGCCAGCAGCAUACCAACUUAUAAACAGCCUGCAUCUGCUGUUUAUAAAUGCUUAAAUCCACCGAGUUGUACCUGAAUUGUAUACUCUCUCUCAAAAUCUAUAAUUAGUAUGAGGUAUAAUGUUGACACUACCAAUCAUGUGAAACAAUAUUGUACCUUAAGGACUUGGUCUUGAUAAUUUCGGGCCUCAUCAGUUAGCUGCCGUUAAUGAACUUACAUGGUUUGGCUGUAUCUGCUAAAGGAGCACAAAACUAUCCUUUCCUUUCGGAUGGCAUCGCUGCAGAUACACGGAGAUCAGCGAGGAAGGCAUUUGUUCUGAUUACAGGAAACGUGACCCGUUCGAUGAGAUGCUGAGCAAAACUGGUGCAGGGGUACUUGGCUUCUGUGGUUUUAGGUGAGUUGAGGUGGGAAGGAAAAUCACAAAGUUGUGGAGGGCUCUUCUGAUGCCAGAUCAAUGAAAACUUUGGUCAGCUGCAGCUGCUGCAGCUGGUGUGUACGUUUGGUCUAAGCAGCUCAACCCCCCAUCCCCCACCCCCAUCAAACGCUUUUGCAUUUCUUGACUCUUGGUGUAAUAUUCAGUCCAUCAAAUUCUGAUCUUGAGAAUUCCAAUUUGCACUGUGGAACUGCUCUUUCCCUCUCGA